UGGGUGGAGGGUAAAUGUGUUAAAAGGGACAAUGAAUGAACAGUGAAUGAGUACGAUCAGCUCAGCUGACUGAGUACCACGAACUGGCAGAGACUGCAAAGAGGGAGCAGUGGGAAGAUGACAUUUUCUUUUUAUCUUGAAUCAGGGCUUUGCUUAUAAAGGCUACUUUAUAUGAUAUGAUUCUGUUUGUAUAUUGCUAGGGAAGGUAUAACGAUACCAGAAACACUACGAGGUUUUGGUUUGGCUUUAACUGUGUUGGAUGAGUGGAAAGAACAGGAGACAGCCUCAGCAUGUUUGUGUGCUGAGGCUUUAAUAGCCAUCUAUAAGAGUAACUUCUGCUGCCAUUUUAAAACUUGGGAAUAGAAAAAAUGCCAAGUGUUCCACUUGAAGUGUUGUAGGAGUUCAAAUGUGAGUACUGAAAAAGGAGACAAAUACCAAUGCUUUUUGUAUGAGUAGCACAGGUGCAGUCCUACUUUGGGUGUAUGGACAGCAUUUCAUGCUAGAAUAGAUAAGAAUAGUCAGUGUUUCCAAACACAUCUCCUAUAGCUGCAGAAUAUCGUCUGAGCAGUGAGCAGUUAUUCCUGUUGUAGGAAAAAAUACAUCCAUACAUUUCCAUUUUCACAAGGUCUUCGUGUAGUCUUACGUAAUUUGGGUUUGUUGUGGCUUUUCCUCUAAUGACGUGUUCAUUUUACAAACAUAAGCAUUAUGUUGCAUCGAUGCCACUGUCAGAUCCCUCUCUUGUGGUGUUUCUAAUUUAAACAGAACUUCACACCAAGAGUUUUAAUUAGGAUUUAAUUAGUUGCAAGUAUACUGCCGAGAAUACUGUGGUUCUUCCUGGAUUCAGUGUCCAGGGUGUGUAGCUGGACAUGAACUGUGUGUGAGAGACUGGUCUAGAAGAGAAACUCCUGAAAUUCAGGAGGCAAUGGCACCUUCUGUGAGUAGAGCCCAGUGUCUGCCAGCAUCCCCUCCAGCAAUUACCUCCAGAUCCUGUGCCUGAGAUGUGCUCAUCCAAUCCAGUUUGGGGGUGCUGGGGUUGGUUUGUUUCUUGGGAGCAAAGAGGGAGAGGUUGCUGCUUUAUUUGUGAUGUUCUGACAGUGUUUCUGGAUCCAAAGAUUUCCAUCACCUGUGGGAAACUACCUUUAAGGAUAUACAGGUGUUGUGGGUUUUUUUGUUUUACUGUUUAAAUAUCUCCUCAUGCUGGUAUUGCACCUCUUAGCUUAGAAGACUAAAUGGAUUUCCUCAGCUAACAGUAAAAUAGUCCAUAAUAUCCCACCGUUUCUGCAGUUCCCAUUGUCAGGACAGAUUCUAUUAGAAGGAACUUACAGGAAUAACUGUAAUUCAGUCACAUCUGAAAUAAAAACUGUGGGGAAUAUGUUGUUUUUUGGGAA
rnacentral:lncRNA from 1 species